GUCCACAGCCAUGUCACCCUGCAGCCCAAGACCGGUUACUCACUGAAGCUAAGCAGGGCUGAGCCUGGUUAGUACCUGGAUGGGAGACCACUAGGGAACACUAGGUUGCUGUUGGAA
rnacentral:rRNA from 1 species